GCGGAUGAUGGGCCUUACUACCGCAACCUUGCCAAGGUUGAAGUCGUGAGUUCGAAUCUCAUCACCCGCUCCA
rnacentral:tRNA from 1 species